GUGUCGUCUAAAAAAUAAGCAAAACCCAUUAUGCCAACAGUAAUAGGAGUACAUGACAAACGAUUAUCAUGAUCUUCAAACGAACAGAAAUUUCAGAACACAGAACUUUCAAAGAGUCACACAACCAAUCACCAUAAACGCUGAUGAUGUCAGAAAAAGUAACACUGUAUGAAUGACUAGCCACACUUAUCCAAAAAUUAGAAGAACGCACACUUGGUAAGUUAUAAACAGAAAAGUCAAAGGUGGGCACUUCCGAAAUUACCAUGAUGCAUUUCAAAAUAAUAACAAAAAAUACUUUCUAAACCAACUUUUAUAUUACCCAUAUAGUGACCUUCUAGUUUCGUGUUUGACACAAAUUAGAACAUUGCAGAUCAGGUGAUUACAAGCCUCUGUGGGUGAUACAAAGUACACAACUUCAAAAACAAGGACGGGCGCGCGGGGGAUGGGGACGGGGUGGGGGGUUGAGAAGGUGUAACUUCGACUCAUAAGUUUCUGUUGAAUUAUAGAUGGGCCUUGGCCUCAUAUAACAAUAAUUCAUGGUUAAUCUCUAAGGCCCAUGUGGGGUGUCAUGAUACGGUGGAAAGUUUAGUAACAUACUACUAGCGGAGUAGAGUUGAGACCUCUUUAUAAGAGAUUCUCUUCUACAUACUAUUGGAGCUUGAGAAGAGGAGUAGUACACACAUGCUCCUCCUCUGUUGCCCGCCUUGCCACGCCUGGCCCGGGCGCGUCAUGUUUCGUGAAUGAGCCGAGCCGAGCUCAGAUCUAUGUCAUGCGUGCACUUAAUUUUUGCCGGUCACAAACGGAUAAUUAAUUAAAGAUCAAUUAUGAGUCGCUAAUGGACGUGCCACUAAUUCGAGACGCUGGAUUGUGGUAUGCUACUGACUCGGUUGUGGGCCUAAGCCGAGGCCCGCGACUCCCUACCAGAUAUAUUUGAGGCAUUGGCAACCCCAGCCGACACUUGCUCAUGCAUAAACCGCCACUAUCGUUCCACUCAUUGUUGUUGCUUCUGGCAAUCCCAUCCGUCGACCGCGUGCACGACCGUUAGGGAGAACAUGCUUCCGGAACUCCGCCCUUUGCGACUUUACACCGGGAGAAGGGUGAAAAGGUUUUUGAGUAACGCCUUGGCACGACUGCUUGUUCGUCUGUCUCUGUCCUCUGCUUCAACUCCCUCCUCCACACCGACACCAUGGUUGACGAUGCUGCCCAGAAGAAGGCCGCUAAGGAAGCCACUGCCCUCGCCGCCUCUCUGUCCUGGCCUACUGAAGGGUAUGAUCUAUCCAUCCCCUAUCUACUUGUUUAUGUGCUAGCCGUAUUUAAUGUCUUCAUGGAUGUUUUGGUUCUAUGUUCGGUACGUGCUCACAUGUUUACAUAUCGGUAUGAGCUUCGUGUUGUUAAUGCCAUGUUCAUGAUUUAUCUAUGGAUUAAAUCAAUAGAAAUUGCCAACACGCCCAGUAAAGCAAAAAACCUUAUAUUUAUGGGCAUUUUUUGAUUUAAGGAUUUGCUGGUACACUACCUUGUGGCUCACAACAAUGAGUGUGUUCCGGACCGUUGGUGGCACUGCAGUUGAAACGAUUGCUCCUGACAAGAAGAAGGCGUUUAGGGAGGCUACUACCGUCUUUGUCGGAGCCGUUCUGGGUGUGUGUGAGUGUGUGUGAUCGGAGACAAGCUAGUUGACACAUAUCUGCAGAUGGGGGUUGCCAAGAGUUUGGUGAUGCGCUCGAAACUAAGUUCGGUGCAAUCGAUGCUGGACGGGAGUUGUACGCUAUGGAGCAGUUCCAUGAUAGGAUGGUUGAUAGUCGUCCUGUAUUGGACGAGACUUGUGAGGUACAGUGCAUCACUAAGGAGCUCAAGCUCCUGAAGUGUGAGUUAUCGGACAAUUUUGUCAAGGGGUGCAUAAUUGCUAAACUUCCUUCUCAGAGGAAUUUUGUUACUUCUCCCAUGCACCUGAGACGUGAAUUCUCGGUUGAAGAUGUCAUCCAUCAUAUGAAUUUUGGGCAGAAUUUGAGAGAAAGGACUAAGGGGCCGAGGGAUCUUCUAGUGCAAAUAUGGUGCAGAAGAAUUUUCACAAGUUCAAGGGAAACAACACGGUCCAGCAAAAUACUACCUUCAAGAAGGGUAAGAAGAACAACAAGAAAGAUUCUGGCUGCAACACUUGUAGUGAUGAUGGACACUGGUCCAACAGAUGCCCACAGAAGUUAAAGAAGCCAGGACAGAACAUCAAGUUUGUCGAUGUGACCAAAAGCAACAAUUAUAAUGGGGCAUCUGGGUAGGUCGCACGAGAUUGAUUUGUUUUGAUGGGAAUGGCACGCAUGCUUCUAUUCAUGAUGUUGGCACGAUGAAUUUGGAGUCUAGUAAGGAGAAGAUCAUACAGCUUAAGAACGUGUAGCAUGUCCCCGCUAUAAAAAAACUCCCUAGUGUCUCCCUUCUAUGUAAAGAAGCCUUUCAGAUAGUAUUCAAGUCUAAUAAAGUAGUCCUAUCGAGAUAUGGAUUCUUCGUUCGAAAGGGAUAUGAAUGUGGUCGUGAACCAUAUUCAUUCAAGUGUGAAUGAAUCUAAGGUUUGGCAUUCACGCCUUUAUCACAUUAAUUUCGAUUGUAUGAUGCAGCGGCUAAGAUGAAUUUAAUCAUGAGUUUCACUCUA